rnacentral:rRNA from 1 species
AUAUAUGAAUGUCAGCAAUAAGGGGAUGCCUAAAUUAAAUUUUAGGUUAAUAAAUUAAAUUAGAAAUUAUGUAUAAAUAAAAAGGAUUAAUAAAAUGUAAGAUAUCUCAAAAAGUAGUGAAUUGAAACAUCUCAGUAACUAUAAAUUAAAAAAAAAAUUGUAAAGGUAGUAGUGGUGAGCGAACUUUUUAAAGAGAAUUUUUUAAAAAAAAAUAUUAGUUGGAAUGCUAAAUAAAAACUGGUAAAAAUCCAAUAUUUUAAAAAAUGUUUAAAUAAGUAAAUUGUUUUAAGUUAAUUAUAAUUGAAAUAAUAAAGAAGUUAAUAUCUUCUACUCUAAAAAAAUUUAAUGAUAGCAAAGAAAGUACUGCGAGGGAAAGGUGAAAAGAAUAAAAAAAAAUAGUUUAAAAGAUUCUGAAACUUAUUGUAUUAUCAGUUGAUGCUUAAGCUGCAACGUACCUUUUGUAUAAUGGACCGACGAGUUAAUUUUGUUAGCAAGCUUAAAUAAUAGUAGGCGUUAAUAAUUUAAAAAAAGUUAAUAGAAUUAGACCCGAAACUUUGUGAUCUAACUAUGAACAAGCGUAAGGCUGAACCGGUAAAUGUUGCAAAAUUUUCGGAUGAUUUGUGGUUAGGGGUGAAAGAUUUAUCAAACAAAGAGAUAGCUGGUUUUCCGCGAAAAUUAUUUGAGUAAUGCGUUUAAAUAAAAAAAAAAAGAUAAUUAGUUUUAAACUGUCGAUUGGUAGGCACUUAAAAAAUUUAAUAAUGUUUUUUUUUUAAAUAAACAGUUAGUCUAUCAGCGCAAAGGUUGAUAGACAAGAGGGAUACAGCCCAGAUUAUUUAUUAAGGUUCAAAAGUAUUUAUUAAUAUAAAAGAUAGAAAUUUAUCAAAUUAAAAAGGUCGGCGUGGGGGCUGUCAUCCUUUCAAAAAAGCGUCACAGCUUAUUUAAUUAAAAUAAAUUUUUAUUAACAAUUUUGAUAUAAAUAAAUCACCGAAAUAAUAAAUUUAUGGUAGCGGAAUGUUUUGUAUAUCAUAAAAGUAGUAUUGAAAAAUAUUAUGGAGGUAUCAAAAGUAAAUAUGUCGGUAUUAGUAAUCAUAUAAUGUUGAAUCAUUGUUGUUGAAUAUCUAAGAGUUUUAAUGAAAGAAUGAAUCUCAUUAAGUUAUACGAUCCCUAAGAAGAAAAUUAAAAUUUUAUUUGAUGGAGUUUCUAAUUCGACAUUUUUGACAAAAAUCAAGAAAUAAAUUAGAUGUAUAUCGUAUUAAAUCUGACACUAGUAGAUAGGUUGAAUAAACUAAAACAACGAGUGAAUAAUAUUGAAGGAACUCGGCAAAAUUAUUCUGUAACUUCGGGAAAAAGAAUACUUUUUUAUAGUAAAAUAUAAAGAGGUGGCACUAAAGAGAGGGCGACGACUGUUUAAUAAAAACACAGGACUUUGCUAAUUCGAAAGAAGACGUAUAAGGUCUGACUCCUGCCCGGUGCUGCAAAAUGAAAAAGUUAAACAUUUUUAACUAUAAAUUCCAGUAAACGGCGGCUGUAACUCUGACGGUCCUAAGGUAGCGAAGUUCCUUGGCGGGUAAGUUCCGUCCUGCAUGAAUGGAGUAACGAUUGUCCUACUGUCUCCAAUAUUAUCUUGAUGAAAUUGAAUUGGUUGUGAAGAUGCAAUUAUGUACAAUUAGACGGAAAGACCCUAUGCACCUUUACUAUAAUCAUAAACCAGGGACUUUAGUAAGUUAUUAUUAGGAAAGUAACAAUUGUUAAUGAGUACUAUCUUAAUUUUUAAUUUUUCUUUAUCUCAAAUAGAAAUAAAUGAGAGAAAUAUUUUUGAUUGUUAGUUUAACUGGGGCGGUUGCCUUCUAAAAAGUAACGAAGGUGUAAAGUUAUCAAUUUUUAAUCUUAGAUUAAAGGUUGUAAUGAAUAAAUUGAUAAGAUUUAGAUACUAACAAGUAUUUAAAGAGUAAUCUUUUUAUAAUGAUCCGAUAGAUAAUAAUAAACAUUGCUAUCGAUAAACGGAUAAAAGGUACGCUAGGGAUAACAGGCUGAUAAUUUUUUGGAGUUCUUAUUGAAGAAAUUGUUUGGCACCUCGAUGUCGGCUCAUCAUAUCCUGAAGGAGCAUACGCUUUCAAGGGUUUGGCUGUUCGCCAAUUAAAAUGGUACGUGAGCUGGGUUUAGAACGUCGUGAGACAGUUCGGUCCCUAUCUGUUGUACAUUGAAAUAAUAAAAGAGUUUAUCCUAGUACGAGAGGACUGGAGAGAAUUAACCUCUGGUGUAUCGGUUAUAAAAAAAAAAUUUUUGUAUUGCCGGGUAGCUACGUUAAGAAUAGAUAAAUACAUUUUUGUAUGAAUCUAACUUUUAAAAUUUCUAAAUAAGUAAAAAUAGACUAUUUUAUUGUUAUAUGUAA